GACGAACGCUGGCGGCGUGGAUUAGGCAUGCAAGUCGAGCGACGGUGCACCCUUCGGGGUGCAUACGGAGCGGCGAACGGGUGAGUAACACGUGAACAACCUGCCCUCACAUUCCGGAUAAUUCACCGAAAGGUGUUGUAAUACGGGCGAGGAUCCUUGGGAGGCAUUUUCCGAGGAGGGAAGGCGCAAGCCGUGCGAGGAGGGGUUCGCGGAUUAUCAGGUAGUUGGUGGGGUAACGGCCCACCAAGCCGACGACGAUUAGCUGGUCUGAGAGGAUGGUCAGCCACAUUGGGACUGAGACACUGCCCAGACUCCUACGGGAGGCUGCAGUCGAGAAUCUUGCACAAUGUACGAAAGUAUGAUGCAGCGACGCCGCGUGAAGGAUGAAGGUCCCUUUGGGUCGUUAAACUUCUUUUAUCGGGGAAGAAUAAAUGACGGUACCCGAUGAAUAAGCCACGGCUAACUACGUGCCAGCAGCCGCGGUAAGGUACUCUAU
rnacentral:rRNA from 1 species